GGUCCCUAUCUACCGUGGGCGCUGGAAAUUUGAGAGGAUCUGCUCCUAGUACGAGAGGACCAGAGUGGACGAACCUCUGGUGUACCGGUUGUGACGCCAGUCGCAUCGCCGGGUAGCUAUGUUCGGAAGGGAUAACCGCUGAAAGCAUCUAAGCGGGAAGCCUACCUCAAGAUAAGAUUUCCCUAGGACUUUAUGUCCUCUAAAGAGCCGUUCGAGACUAGGACGUUGAUAGGUUGGAUGUGGAAGCAUAGUGAUAUGUGAA
rnacentral:rRNA from 1 species